rnacentral:misc_RNA from 1 species
GUAGGUGAACCUGCGGAAGGAUCAUUACCGAGUUCAUGCCCGCAAGGGUAGACCUCCCACCCCUGUAUACCCUACUAUGUUGCUUCCUCGGGCCGCUGUAAAGCUCUGGCAUCUGCUAGGUCGUGCCCGUGAAAGGACCCCCAACCCUGAAUGUUAGUGUCGUCUGAGUACUAUAUAAUAGUUAAAACUUUCAACAACGGAUCUCUUGGUUCUG